UCUAAUGUCAAUAAUGAGCAAACCUUUAAUUAUUGAAUCAUGACUUCAGGGUAGCUUAAAAACAUCGAUACUUCGAAAAUUUCGAAGCUUUCAAAAUACAUCAAUGCACAGACACAAUACAUCGAGUAUUUAUAAAACAUCGAUAAAAAGAUAUGCCGAAAAUAAGCGCAAAACGUAAGCUUAAAAAACUUUACCAGGAGAUCUUCGUGAAUGAUUUGUUAACGUUGGAAAUUUGCGAUGAAAUUGAUG